UACAGAGGUCUCAAGCGUUUGUUCGGAUUCAUUGGGCGUAAAGGGUGCGUAGGCGGCGCGGUAAGUCGGGUGUGAAAUCUCGGAGCUUAACUCCGAAACUGCAUUCGAUACUGCCGUGCUUGAGGACUGGAGAGGAGACUGGAAUUUACGGUGUAGCGGUGAAAUGCGUAGAUAUCUGGAGGAACACCGGUGGCGAAGGCGGGUCUCUGGACAGUUCCUGACGCUGAGGCACGAAGGCCAGGGGAGCAAACGGG
rnacentral:rRNA from 1 species